AUUGAACGCUGGCAGCAUGCCUUACACAUGCAAGUCGAACGGUAACAGGUCUUCGGAUGCUGACGAGUGGCGAACGGGUGAGUAAUACAUCGGAACGUGCCUAGUAGUGGGGGAUAACUACUCGAAAGAGUGGCUAAUACCGCAUGAGAUCUACGGAUGAAAGCAGGGGAUCGCAAGACCCUGUGCUACUAGAGCGGCCGAUGGCAGAUUAGGUAGUUGGUGGGAUAAAAGCUUACCAAGCCGACGAUCUGUAGCUGGUCUGAGAGGACGAUCAGCCACACUGGGACUGAGACACGGCCCAGACUCCUACGGGAGGCAGCAGUGGGGAAUUUUGGACAAUGGGCGCAAGCCUGAUCCAGCAAUGCCGCGUGCAGGAUGAAGGCCUUCGGGUUGUAAACUGCUUUUGUACGGAACGAAAAGCCCUGGGUUAAUACCCUGGGGUCAUGACGGUACCGUAAGAAUAAGCACCGGCUAACUACGUGCCAGCAGCCGCCGUAA
rnacentral:rRNA from 1 species